UGGGGAAUAUUGCACAAUGGGCGCAAGCCUGAUGCAGCCAUGCCGCGUGUAUGAAGAAGGCCUUCGGGUUGUAAAGUACUUUCAGCGAGGAGGAAGGCGUUGUGGUUAAUAACCGCAACGAUUGACGUUACUCGCAGAAGAAGCACCGGCUAACUCCGUGCCAGCAGCCGCGGUAAUACGGAGGGUGCAAGCGUUAAUCGGAAUUACUGGGCGUAAAGCGCACGCAGGCGGUCUGUCAAGUCGGAUGUGAAAUCCCCGGGCUCAACCUGGGAACUGCAUCCGAAACUGGCAGGCUUGAGUCUUGUAGAGGGGGGUAGAAUUCCAGGUGUAGCGGUGAAAUGCGUAGAGAUCUGGAGGAAUACCGGUGGCGAAGGCGGCCCCCUGGACAAAGACUGACGCUCAGGUGCGAAAGCGUGGGGAGCAAACA
rnacentral:rRNA from 1 species